rnacentral:misc_RNA from 1 species
UGGAACUGGUAAGACGACCGGCUGGAUCUUCGGAUCUCCCCGGUAUGAACCUUCCCGUGCUUUUUAGAACAUAGAUGGCACCAGUCAGGUGACCAUCGAAACGUAAUACGCCGCGUAGACUUCGGUCACGACGGUAUGGCGAGCUUUCGCCGUCCACGUUUCUCUUUCUUCAAGAAGACAAAAAACCGUAUCGACCGGUUCCCCGAAUGGGCCCGUAGCUCAGUUGGUUAGAGCACACGCUUGAUAAGCGUGGGGUCGGAAGUUCAAGUCUUCCCGGGCCCACCAUUUACUUGAUGUGAAUGAUGGUUUGGGAUGAUGGAAUGGCAGUUGAUGCGGAUUGUUGCCGAACCCGGGAUGUGUCCUGGGCGAUCGAGCUGAUGGGGCUGUAGCUCAGCUGGGAGAGCACCUGCUUUGCAAGCAGGGGGUCAGCGGUUCGAUCCCGCUCAGCUCCACCAAAUCGAUUGGUGUUGAGACUGACGGCAUUUGUCUUUUGAAGAAAUACAAGUUUUGCAUCGGCUUUGAGCCUGAUGCCUGUUCUGCAUAUAUCGUGAAGAGAAGAUUGAUCUGGAGGCUUCCAGGUGUUUUGGGUUCUGCCCAAAGCGUCCGAGCCCAGUUCCUGUGAACCCAUGGAUGGCCUAGCCGGCCGGAUGUGGUGGAGGGAUUGGAGGUAGGAAGGAAGCUUGUCGCUCUGGAUCGUCAGCGUAAACCGCGUAGCGGUUUGUCGCGUGUUGUUUGCAGUCUUCGGACUGCAUCUGACGGACGAUCGGAUUACCGUUGCCUGACCGCGCGGUAUCGGAUCCAAUCUCGAGAAGCUGGUCUUAAGACAGGCUGCAAGUGGGCUGCUCGGCGUAGCUCCAAUAAAGCAGACCUGUCGAACACGUCGAUGGCAUCAACGAAUGGCCUGGGUUGUAAAAGGUAACCCUGGCUGCUGCAUCCCUUCGGGAUGUCGGCUAAGUGAUGAGCAUUGGCAAUGAGAACGAUUAAGUGUCGUAAGGGCAUUUGGUGGAUGCCUUGGCAUGCACAGGCGAUGAAGGACGUGAUACGCUGCGAAAAGCCGUGGGGAGCUGCGAAUGAG